UACGUAGGAUGCAAGCGUUAUCCGGAAUGAUUGGGCGUAAAGCGUCCGCAGGCGGCUGUGUAAGUCUGCUGUUAAAGACUGAGGCUCAACCUCAUAAAGGCAGUGGAAACUACAUGGCUAGAGUGCGUUCGGGGCAGAGGGAAUUCCUGGUGUAGCGGUGAAAUGCGUAGAGAUCAGGAAGAACACCGGUGGCGAAGGCGCUCUGCUGGGCCGCAACUGACACUGAGGGACGAAAGCUAGGGGAGCGAAUGGG
rnacentral:rRNA from 1 species